AGAGUUUGAUCAUGGCUCAGAACGUACGCUGGCGGCACGCCUAACACAUGCAAGUCGAACGCAGUAGCAAUACUGAGUGGCAGACGGGUGAGUAACAUGUGGGAAUCUGCCUUGUGGUUCAGGACAACAUUGGGAAACCGAUGCUAAUACUGGAUAAGCCCUUACGGGGAAAGUUUUAAUGCCAUAAGAUGAGCCCGCAUUUGAUUAGUUAGUUGGUGAGGUAAUGGCUCACCAAGACAAUGAUCAAUAGCUGAUCUGAGAGGAUGAUCAGCCACACUGGGACUGAGACACGGCCCAGACUCCUACGGGAGGCAGCAGUGGGGAAUCUUGCACAAUGGAGGAAACUCUGAUGCAGCGAUGCCGCGUGAGUGAAGAAGGCCUUUGGGUUGUAAAGCUCUUUUGUAGGGGAAGAUAAUGACUGUACCCUAAGAAUAAGGUCCGGCUAACUUCGUGCCAGCAGCCGCGGUAAUACGAAGGGACCUAGCGUAGUUCGGAAUUACUGGGCGUAAAGCGCGCGUAGGCCGUUGAGUUAGUUAAUUGUGAAAUCCCAAAGCUUAACUUUGGAACUGCAAUUAAAACUGCUCGACUAGAGUUUGAUAGAGGAAAGCGGAAUACAUAGUGUAGAGGUGAAAUUCGUAGAUAUUAUGUAGAACACCAGUUGCGAAGGCGGCUUUCUGGGUCAACACUGACGCUGAGGCGCGAAAGUAUGGGUAGCAAAGAGGAUUAGAUACCCUCGUAGUCCAUACCAUAAACGAUGAUUGCUAGAUGUUGGAAAUUUAUUUUCAGUAUCGCAGCUAACGCAUUAAGCAAUCCGCCUGGGGAGUACGACCGCAAGGUUAAAACUCAAAUGAAUUGACGGGGACCCGCACAAGCGGUGGAGCAUGUGGUUUAAUUCGAAGAUACGCGCAGAACCUUACCAACCCUUGACAUGUCUGUCGCGAGUUUAGGAAACUAGACUUUUCGGUUCGGCCGGACAGAACACAGGUGCUGCAUGGCUGUCGUCAGCUCGUGUCGUGAGAUGUUGGGUUAAGUCCCGCAACGAGCGCAACCCUCGUUCUGUGUUGCCAGCAUUUAGUUGGGGACUCACAGGAGACUGCCGGGGUUAACUCGGAGGAAGGUGGGGAUGACGUCAAAUCAUCAUGCCCCUUAUGUCUUGGGCUGCACGCAUGCUACAAUGGCUGGUACAAACGGCUGCGAUACCGCAAGGUGGAGCGAAUCCGAUAAAGCCAGUCUCAGUUCGGAUUGGGGUCUGCAACUCGACCCCAUGAAGUCGGAGUUGCUAGUAAUCGUAGAUCAGCAACGCUACGGUGAAUACGUUCCCGGGGCUUGUACACACCGCCCGUCACGUCACGAAAGUCGGUAACACCCAAAGUCAGUGGCCCAACCGCAAGGAGGGAGCUGCCAAAUGUGGGAUCGGUGAUUGGGACGAAGUCAUAACAAGGUAGCCGUA
rnacentral:rRNA from 1 species